CAUGCAAAAUUAUUUGAGGUGAGGGCUAGGGACCAAGGCAGGGGUGAUCCCUACAAUGGGCCUCAUUCCAUCUCCUACCCCCCCCCCCCCCCACACACACACAACAACAAUGAGCACAAGAUUAGGGAUGGGGCAACUGUAAAGGUGACAUCACAGGCAAGGGCUGAGGACCAAGGCAGAGGUACGGCUGUAUGCAUGGCGAUGCGCUAGAGCUACACGUAGCAGACUCCCGCUCCAAAUGGCAGGACGGUUGUCGGAAAUCACCAGAGUCAGUGAAGCUGAGAGAUUUCUACUGUCAUCUAAGGAUUGAGCAAUUGGACAGAUUCCAUGACAUUACUUGUUCUUUCUAAAUAUUGGGCACUAUUUCUCCUUUCAAUCAAGCUAACUACACUGCAGUAUUCUACAUGAUAAAUGGGUUUUACAAUUUAUUUCUUGGGAUUAUUCUUUUAAUAUAAAAAGAUGUUUUGGCAUUUCUCACUACAUACAACUAUAAAUUUACUGUAUAUUGUGUCAUUUCAGCUCCUAUGAAACAAUUUAAGCCUCUGCUAAAUCUAAACUAAAAUAUGGGUAACUAUUUAAUAUAUUCUAAAUUCCAGACAAAAACAUGCUUGAACUUGACCCUAUUUGUAACACGAGUAUGAAUAAAAAAUUUAACCACGACUAUUACAUACUUUU